AAGUCGUAACAAGGUCUCCGUUGGUGAACCAGCGGAGGGAUCAUUACCGAGUUUCCAACUCACAACCCAAUGUGAACAUACCUACGUUGCUUCGGCGUGCACCCGGCCUCGGCCGCGCCGCCGAAGACCCCAAACUCUUUGUUUUCCAAUGUGGUUACUUCUGAGUAAACAAGCAAAUAAAUUAAAACUUUCAACAACGGAUCUCUUGGCUCUG
rnacentral:misc_RNA from 1 species